UGAUAAGAGAAUUACUGACAAGGUAAAACCAAAUGAAAACAAACUAACAGUGGGUGGAACGCGUGACACAGACUGUUGGUUCCAAUAUACACCAUUCUUCUGGUCGGAUGCAAAACAUGUUGCCAUGGACUCUUCUGCCAGAAACCCUGCUGUGAACACUGGUGUUGCAGCUCUCACUCUGGAACAUUUUCAAAAUGAGCUUCAGAAACCAG